CCAAAAAUGGUUUACCCUUUAAAGGCUAUUUGUUGAUGUACUCCUUUUGCUUAAUGUACCCCAUCAUGGCUCGAUAUGAUUUGCCAGUUGGCAAAUUUUGCCACUCUAAGAAAUUAGGAGCAUGGUACCAUUUUAGUAAUGACUAAUAAAGUGCCAGCAGUCGCGGUCACACUUUAAUUACAAGUAAAAGUACUUAGCAGAUUGUAAAUGCAUUAUAGACCUAUAUAGUGAAAUAUAAGCACAAACUCACCAUCUCAUUUACAGAUAAUAAAACAGCUGAUCACAAACAGGGAUUAGAUACCCCUUUAUGCAGCACGUACUCACUUCUGCUGGGGACUACACUAGAUACUCAAACCCAACCAACAUGGCGGUAACUUGAACAUUUAGGGGAACUUACGGAAUAAUUGAUAACCACCAAGAACAUACACGUUUGGUAAGAUCUUACAUACCGUCGUCGGCAGAUAUGCUAUAAUAGUAUGUCAUAAUGUAUACACAAGAAGACAGAUCAAGGUGUAGACUAUGCAGGCGUUCACGCGAGUUACUAUAAAAAUUAUAUUCAUACAACAACGCUAUCGUUGAGAAGUGAAGGACUUGAAAGUAAUAAAUAUUAUGAUUAUUUUAUGAAUAUCACUCUAGUUGUGC
rnacentral:rRNA from 1 species